rnacentral:lncRNA from 10 species
GGGGGGUGCCUGUAAUCCACACUACACAGGAGGCUGAGGCAGAGAGAAUGGUUUGAACCCCCGGGAGGCAGAGACUGCAGUGAGCUGAGAUCACGCCACUGCACUCCAGCCUGGGCGACAGAGCGAGACCCUGUCUCAAAAAAAAAAAAAAAAAAAAGAAGCAGCAGCAGCAGCAAAUUUCCAGGAAGAAGCAGGCUAUGGAGAUCAGGGCAGGCAAAGGACAGAAUUAGGUUAGUGCAUCAACUGGGUCCAACCAGGAAGACACAUGUGUUUAUCUCCUGCAGCACCAAAAACCACCCAGAAGACAGCUCAGUGGACCCUAGCAGUGGAUUCUACAUGUCUGCAGAAAAUGAGCAGAAAACAAGCCAGAGUUACAGCUAUCUGCAGAGAGACUACAUCCAGGAGGUCUGAAGACUGAAAGUAAUCACUGCAGUCUGACUUCUACCACUGACACCCUUCCCAUACAUAAUUUAAAUGUGUAAUUAUAAUACCAUUGCUUAGUUAACGGACACCAAUUCGUGCAGGAGCUGCCACAAACAGUAAUAAACCAGCUGUGUUAGAAAUGGAUCACUUAUCAGUGCGUGCCCAAGCCUCCUAAUGCCUCAUGAUGUUUAAUAAUUAAAUUGUGACACCUUGAACCCGCAGCUGACACCAUGAAUCACAGUGGAAUUCUCCAAAUGGAAUGCAGCCACACCUCAGCUUCUGUGCUGCGUGCUGCCACUGAGGACAUUCGAUACCAUUGAAGCCGUCAGAUAGAGGCCGUAUUUCAAAAGGUCUACGGUGGCUCCGUUUCUUCUCUGAGACUUCAAAAGUCCUUCAAGAGUGAGUUCCCGUCUCAUUCUAUGUCCAGGAUGAAGACGGAUGGCCUCUUGGCACCCAUCUCUUUGGCAUGAACGAUGUGGGGAAACGUGAAUGGAAAUGGGGAACUGUUGCUGGCACCCAGAAGUCAUCCGGUCCGGAUGAAGCCAAGUCACAAGGAAGUGCCUCCAAUUAUUCUUCAUAAAUUCCUCUGAGGUUUCACUUCUUGUCCACACAAGACUUUAAUAAAAUGUGGCAUCUAACUGAAUAAAGACUAUCCUUUCGGGUGUGUGUGUCAUGACAGUACUAUUUAUGGAGGACCUCCUGUGUAGCAGUUCUUGCACUGUUUUACGUAAUCAUCCCCUUUCAUCCUAACAAUCACUCCUGUGAAGUAUGUGUCCUUAUUUUCAUUUCGUUGUAGAGAAAACCAAGGCUCUGAGACAUUAAGCAAUGUGCCCAAGGACACACAGCUAGUAAGUGGCUGGAUUUGAGCGCAAGCCUACAAGAAACUUCUCUCCAGGAUGAUUAAGAAAAGGAAAUGCCGGAUUGAAAAGAUGCCAAGCUUCCAGAGCGCGUUCAUGUGGCUCGAUUGACAGUGGCAACCAUUAUCGUCAUCACCGUCAUCGCUGCUUUUAACGGUUAAUGAUAAUAAGCCGUCACACACGGAUGCAGCACUUUGCAAUGCACAAAGCCCUCUUGCACUCAUGCUCUCCAGCGCUCCUCACUGCCAUCUGGGAAUCUCCACUUUGCAGAUGUGGAAACUGAAGCUCGGACGAUGGCAGUGACUCGCCCUGCUAGCCCUGCCGAGAGAGGUCUGCCUUUGCCUCCCUGAUUCUGAAUCAGAUAGGGUCAGGACUCCCUCUAUUCCCCUGGGCUCCUCAACCUGGCGCCCUCACCGCUUACUUGCGGGCCCCUCCUGCCCUCUUCUGCUCCAGACGGCAGGCUCUCUGAGGCAGGACUCUGAUUGGACAGCUUGGAUCAUGUGCUCAUUCAAAAGCCAAUCAGCAGCAGGGGGCUUGGCUCUGUAUUCACUCUUCCCAUGUUAGCUGCCCUUUUUUUUUUUUUUUUUUUUUUUUUUUUUGAGACACAGUCUCAUUCCUCUGCCCCGGCUGGAGUGGAUCUCAGCUCAAUGCAACCUCCACCUCCUGGGUUCAUGUGAUUCUCCUGCCUCAGCAUCUCGAAUAGCUGGGAAUACAGGCACCCGCUACCAUGCCCAGCUAAUUUUUGUAUUUUUAAUAGAGACGAGGUUUCACCAUGUUGGCCAGGCUGGUCUGGAACGCCUGACCUCAAGUGAUCUACCUGCCUUGGCCUGCCAAAGUUCUGGGAUUACAGGUGUGAGGCACUGCACCUGGCCUGCCCUAACUCCCGUUAGGAAUAUGGGAAACUCUUUUCCCAAAGCAGCCUGCACCUCGGUCUUCCCACCCCACCCUACUGAAGAAGGCUCCCAGAAACCAGCUUUGCUGAGCCCAGAACGGCCUGGCUCUGGCAGAUUUGCCCCCAGGCUGCAAGUGGGCGGCAGCACUCCCCCUACAUGUCCCUUUCUAUUUCCUGCCCCUCCCCCUGAGUCUUCCUUUCAUUCUUGCAGCCAGCUCCCAGCCCUGCUUCCCUGCCAGGACCCCAAUUCCCUAACUCCCUGGCAUCAAGACCUGCAUGGAUGUCCCCUGCACUUGUUUUGUCCCCGGAUGUGGCUCCUUGGACUGUCCAGCCCCACACCUGGCCUCUUGUUUCCCACCAGCUACAGCGGCCAAGGCUCCAGCAGGCCUUGUACUUGGCUGGCCCAGGCUUGGCUUUGAUGGACCAGUGACCCAAAUAAGUGACCUUGGAAAGGUCUUCCUAAAGGUGGUGGAGACCAUGUUCUUGAGAGUUGGAGUGGUGUUGGCUUGAGUGUGGGGCUGAGAUCUCACCCAGUGCUAGGGUCCAGGCUGCGAAAUGAGGCAUAGGAUGAGAGAGGUUCUGAGCCACAAAUGGGGUCCAUACCUAAGAGGAUGGGAUCAACCUAGGGAAGGAUUUGGAGGAGAGGCGUGUGUGGAAACAGAGCCUGGAUGCUGAGUCCCUGGAGGCCGGAGUGGGCCCUGGGGCACAGGGAGCCCCUGGCCCCGCCACUGAUGCCAAUUGGGGUGUCAGUCCCCCAACAAAUUCAGUCUGUCCAUAUCUAUUGCUGACACAGGGUUUAGAGAGGGCUUAAAUUCAGAUAAAUGGAAUUUGAAUUCCCUCUUUGUCUCUCAAAUGUGUGAAUUUUGGCAGCCAAGUUCCUCUCUCUGAGCCCAGUUUGUCCAUCUCAAGAUUGUGUGUGAUCAUACCCACCACACUGGGCCACCAGGAGGAAUGAGCGAAGCACCUCAUGUCAAAUGCCUGGCCCAGGCCUGUGUCUGGCAGGGACUCAUGGCUGCGGAAGGGUCAUUAUUUGCCCCCAGGGAUUUCUAGAGAGGAUCAGGAUGCCACGAGGGAUGCUAUUGGAAGCAAGUCACACAGAAGCCAGAGCCCUGGGCUUUCCUAGCAGCACUGGACAUGGGGCAGGGAACAAACCCGAGCCACACUUCUCAGAGGGUGGGCAUGGCAUUGAAAACGACGUGUGUAGGAAGCUUUUCCAAUACACAAGCUGGGCCCCGCCCCAGAACCUUGAGGGGCAGGAGGAGCACUGAGACAACCUUGGGUGGGGUGAGGCAGGGGGACGGCGGGGGGAGAUUUCCAGUCCCUUAGCUGGCGGAAGACUCCUGAGCUGGCAGAGAGCCCUCUUCUUGAAAGACUCUCAUGCACAGGCCAUCAGGAGGAUCACAAAGUUGUUUAUUUUCCCACCUAUAAGAAAAGAUGGAUGAUGCAGAGUGCCGAGAAAUCCC